rnacentral:misc_RNA from 1 species
GUAGUGGUUUUACGAAGCGAAAAGGAACCCAAUUGGGGUUUGAAGAGAAGGGUAAAAGUGGGAUUUUGAUUAGAAUUCAAAGGGGAGAAGGUAAAGUUAGCAGAAAUGACUAAAGGUGAGUUCUUGGGAGACCCAAAAACCCCAAUUCCAGAUUUGAGCGUCAGAGUUAAAGGAGGGGCGAUUGGGGUGGUGGAGCUGGGAGUGAUGGGAGUUGAGGCAGUGGAGUAAGCGAGUUUAAGAGUAGGUCCAGAAGGGAAACUGGUGGCAAGAGAAAGGGAGAGAUCAGAAGGGUGAUGGGUGGUGGUAGAGAAGCAAGAAAGGAAAGGAAGAUUGAAAAUGGAAAUGGGGAUUUUGGCACGGAGGAGAAGUGGGUGUGUUUGUGAUUGUUUUUGGUGAUUCUGGGUUUGAGAAUUCUCUUGGAGUUUCAGUGAGAGCUUCAUCGUUUUUCUCUUUGAAUGUAAAAUGGAAGCUUAACGUUU